GUCACACGUAUGCCAAAGUCAUUGAAGAAUGGCUGGCCAUAUCCACUCAGCUAGUGGAUUCCUGACUGCAGCCUAUAAAAGGGGCAAAGCACCCGUUCGCUACUGGACCUCUUCUCUCUUCCCCUACCUGCAGAACUACUGGAUAUCUUCCUUCUUCUUUGAAGCAAAGAGCUGAAUGCCAGCAUCGUGUCUGUGUGAACCUCUGCUAUGAUGACAACUGCUCUUCUGUGCCUUCCUUGCCAGGAGAGACUGAGUGCUUUAAAACCAUGUUCAAAACGAAGUCCUUGUUUCUGUUGGUGGGGGGCGGGGGUCACAGUGAUACAAUGUAACCAGUACAGUCAGGAUAGCAGACAUACUUUCGGGAGAAAUAAUCAGAGCCAAGACAUUUACCUC
rnacentral:lncRNA from 1 species